AAAUCGCGCCACGAUUUCAGUGGCAGAACCAAACCUUCAUUCUGGUCACAAAAUCGCGCCACGGUUGCCAAUUUCCAGCACUUCCAGAAUUUCUGCUUUUUGCACCCCCAGGCUGUCUAAAAUUGCUAUAGACUCAAUAAAAACAUCAAAACAACUGUUUCUUCAAAAUCUUGUAUUUUUCAUGCUUUCCUUGUUGUUUAAACUUGCUUGUGAACUCAAAAUUAUCAUAAAAUAGCAAAUGACUAACUGUCAUCACAAUCCCAAACUUGAACCAUUCCUUGUCCUCAAGGAAUUUACUUGUAAUAUUGACAAUCGACAGUAAAAUAACAAUUACCUGAUCAAGCGAUAGUACCCAAAAGUUCAUCACCUUACUAGCUAAAGAUGAGCUAGUUUGACUUGUUAGCAACCACCAAUUCACAACUCCACGCAACAAUAUGAAAGGGUUCACACACAGUCGACAUGCAAUCUACAUAUUACCAUACGCUUGAAAAGUUUCUAAACAUCAAUCAAAAUCAAUAUCAAUGCACACUUUGAGGUCUUAAAGGGUUAUAACAGGGCUUAGGUGAAGGUGGAAUAAUAUUUGGAUAAGUAGGCUACACAAAAUUUGAGUUAGGCAUUUCUACGGAAGUUAAGCACAAAAAUCAAUCCAUCAUUCAUUCACCUUUAGGAACAACAAUUCUUGCAAGGGUACUAGAGAUUAUUUAUAAUAAUUGGGACAAUCGAGUUUGAAGUUACUCGGUUUUUCAAUGUUUUGUCCCUUUUUCAUUCAAUUCUCUUUUUUUUUUAAUACACCAUUUGACAUAUUGUUUUCAUGAGAAUGUUCUUAUUAUUAUUUUUUUCUUGUUCUCUAGUAUCCCCACCCCAAACUUAAUUGGUUGCAAAUUCCAAUAGCAACCCCAAACUUAAUAUUUAGCAACAUUCUACAAUGCCUAACUCAGAAAAACAAAAAGGGAUAAAUCCUAAAAGUCUCUAAGCUUGUAAUGUAGUUUGUCACCGAACAAAAAGAUCUAAACCUACCGGCUCAAUUUGGCUAAAGAAAGAAUAAAAUUUCAAAACAAUCAGGGUAGGUUUCAAAAGGCUCACAGGACCAAGCACUUUUGCCUCAGUGUGUAUAUGACAAAGAUCAAUCGACAGUAGAGAAAAAUUGCAAGUUCUAGAAAUGUAAAUGCAUGGAACACUCUUUAGAAGUAAAUUGGAAAAUAAAAUUUGGACAUGAACAUUACAGUUUAGAUUUCUGGGAGUUGUGACUACCUAUCUUUCACUGCCGUACACUUCGCCUUUGAAACACAAGUCACUCCUCCUUUUGAACUUUUGGAAUACCACUUGAGCAAACAUUUGUUACUAAACUGGAAAAAGUCAACAAACAAGCAAAUUCAUCAAUAAUAAACAAGUUCAGAUUCAAUCACAUAACAGGGGGAAACAACUGAGUUAUUCAAACACACUGACAAUUGUCUGACUCAACAAUAGGAAUAAAAUACUGAAAAUAAAAACAUAAAUAAAAAUGAUGGGUUGCCUCCCACCAAGCGCUUUAUUUUACGUCAUUGAGCUUGACGCUCCAACCACUGUUAGGGUGGCAAAUAUGAUAGAAAGAAUAUAUCAUCCUUCUUCUUCCUCUUGUUUGGUAGGAAUUCCAUGAAUUUGGCAUAAAGAAUCAAAUACUCCCAUGCACUCACUGUUGAUCUUUUGGAAUUUAAGCUCUCCCACCUUAGAGAAGGACGUGCAUCCAUUUGCACACGAGUUAUUUCUUUAACCUCCAUUGGUUCAGAUUUCGGACCAAUAUCAACACUCCUCACUUUGGGAUUUUCUUCUACCACAACCUUUUGACAUUCUGUCUCCAUCUUAACCAACUUCCUUUGAGACUCAUGUGCCUUCUCAACAAAAUCACAACACUGAACAUCAAACUGCUCAAAUGAAACUUGAUUCUCUAAGAGAUUUAGCUACUCAUAAUUGAGUUUACAAAUAGCAUAAUCAAUGGAAGAAUUAAAACAUACAUAAACUGGAUUAGAGAUGAUGAAAUCGCCCCUUCUGCAAUCUUCUGGGUGUUAAAAUUGCACUUUAGCUCUCCAAAAUCGUAACCCUUGUUUUCAGAAUAGUCUUCAGCUUAAAUAGGCAACAUUUUCUGCGUCCAAAAUUGCGCCACGCCUCAUAAAAUCGCACCACGAUUCUGAAAAAUCGCGCCACGCCACUCAAAAUCGCGCCACGAUUUCAGUGGCAGAACCAAACCUUCAUUCUGGUCACAAAAUCGCGCCACGGUUGCCAAUUUCCAGCACUUCCAGAAUUUCUGCUUUUUACACCCCCAGGCUGUCUAAAAUUGCUACAGACUCAAUAAAAACAUCAAAACAACUGUUUCUUCAAAAUCUUGUAUUUUUCAUGCUUUCCUUGUUGUUUAAGCUUGCUUGUGAACUCAAAAUUAUCAUAAAAAGACUCUAAAAAUAGCAAAUGACU
rnacentral:lncRNA from 1 species